ensembl:lncRNA
UAUUUCUGUACUUUUCUCAAAAAAAAAAAUGUCUUGCAUAUUUGCUGCUUAAAGGAUCAAGGUGAUGUAGUGCUACAGAGACGACAAGGAUAAAACUGAAAUAAAGUUUUAGAUGUUUGCAAUGUAUAUACCUGCAUGGGAACCACAGAUAUAUGUAUUUUCUAAUUCUUCGUUUUAAUUAACAUAUAUCCUUUCAAUCUUAUCAGUUGGUCUAGUCAAUAAAAUACAGUAAAUCAGCAAACCUAAUGUACAGAAAUGAAUCUGAACAGCUCUUGCAAUUAUACUGCUUUGAUUAAAUCUCCUUUAAAAACAACAAGAAGUUACAGCACCUAUUAUGUACACAGCUUCAUUGUAGAUAGCUAGAUUUAGCAUUUCAAUCUGGAGCAAUGUCUUACCUGUGGCUUUGCCAUAAUACUUCAUCAUUUUGAUCUUUUAAUGUGUAUGCACAGAUUAGGAAAUGUUUCCUUACACAGUUAGUUAUUUCCUUAAAACUAUAUGUUGUAUCAAAAACCUGUCUUUUUUACUUGCAAAAUUAAUUACCUUUGAGCUCUUUCACUUGUGAGUGGAUUCCAUCUGGACAGAGCCCCUUUUCUACCACAGCUUUCAGAUCAUUCUCAAAGCACAUGAUGAGGCAUUUCAGGAAAAUUUUGCUAGACAAAAUUUUCUUGCCUUUUCUUUCAUUUUUUUUUUUCCCUGCAUUGUGACACAAAAAAAAUAGAAUGGAAUUUCAUUUAUUAAUUUCACUUUCAGAGUAUUGCAGAUAUCUCUCACCAUAGCAGUAUGGAUUUUUAGAGUAUUAGGGGGCUAAAGCUGUAGCUGUAGGACAGUGGGCCAGGCCAACAAAAUGGAAAAAGGAACAUCUGAACUUUUCACUAAUGCUAAUAGCAUUUUUGAGUGCAAGGUGACAGCAGAAACCCUUCACAAAAGUUUGAAAAUAUUGAUUACAUUGUAAUUUGUCUUUGGUCCCACAUUCAGGCACUAAGUGCUAGCAGUAUUCCUGAUUAUAAUGGAAAAUUUUGUUCCCUGCUGUGGGGAGAUAAAUAGCACUGAAAGCAAAAAACACCUGGCAGACACCUUGAAUAUGGAACUUUUUUAUUAAGCACUGCAUUUUUUUUCUUUGUUAAUUAAUCUAUUUCACAGUCUCAGGUAAUCACUUUGCAACUUCUCAGUAGUCUGACUUUCAAAGGAACUUCAUGCUCUGUCAGUUUCAACACCCAUGGUGUCAAAGAGCAUGGGAAUGACAAAAAACCCUUGGUAAAUUGUCCAGUGCUAUCUUGUACAUCCCUUUCUUAGAAGGCAGUCACAUUAAAAGCAUUCUUUGUUCUAAAUAUUAUGCAUUAAGAAUGUAUUCUCUGUCUCUUUACUUAGUUUUCAUCUUAGUAAACCUUUGGAGUCCUACUAUGUUACAGAUAAAAGAUGGAGUCAGUAAGAGCUCCUUGUUGACAAGAAUGAUUAAGACUUAAUCAUUCUUGUGAUUUGUGCAGCACUUGUUUGCACAAAUGCCCACCUAAGCAUGGGCUGCAGCAGUCACAGCACCAACUAGAAGCAGUUGCUUAAACACAUGCUAACUCUGUUGCAUAUCACGUAAUGUUCCUUGUCCAUGCUUUGUGUAUUUUUGUCUGGUACCUGCUGUUUAUUGGAGAGGCAUUCACUGCAGACAAAAGGGUAAAAUUAAUUAGAGGGAAAAUCCACAUUCAACACCAAUCCAUUUUAUAAAUAAAUGAUGUAUAGGAUGAGUGCUACCUGACUGGGGUGUCAUAAAUGUAUACUGAAACUUGGAAGGGAAAAAAGCAGGCACAAAUUGCCACAAAUCUAUAAGAAUUAAUCUGAAGGAAUAAAACAGAACUAAAAGGGAAAGUAUAACACCAUAACAACUGAUAAAUGGGUAAGUCUGACACAAAUAUGUCAAGAAUGGUAGAUAAUGUGAGAUUACCAUGGUAAAUUACUUCAUUUUUAGAAGCAAAGGAAAUUGAGUAAAUAUCAUCUCUCUAGAUUUCAGCAGAGCAUAUGAUAAAGUUCCAUAUAGUAAAUUCUUUUAGUUUAGCAGUAUAGGCAAAUGGAACCUGUAGGCUGAUUCAAUGAGGGAAGAGAUGGAGCUGGAGAGACGUCCCACAUAAUUGAAUGUCAGAACUAAUCCUGAAUAAUAUUUUCAAUAAUGAACUUAAUAUAGACUUAUAAGGAAAGGGCUGAUGCAAUGUGUUCCGGACAUAAAACUGGAAGGUACUUUCAGUGAAGACCAAGUUAUCAGAAGAAUUAAAGGAAAAAAAAAAAGGCAAGAGUCUUUCUUGUUAAAGAGUAGAUUUCAGCUUUUCUCAUUUAGAAGAAUAAACCCAGGUAGAUGAAAA